rnacentral:rRNA from 1 species
UACGUAGGUGGCAAGCGUUGUCCGGAUUUACUGGGCGUAAAGAGCGCGCAGGCGGUCGUUCAAGUCGAGUGUGAAAGCCCCCGGCUCAACUGGGGAGGGUCACUCGAUACUGAUCGACUCGAAGGCAGGAGAGGGAAGCGGAAUUCCCGGUGUAGUGGUGAAAUGCGUAGAUAUCGGGAGGAACACCAGUGGCGAAGGCGGCGAUCUGGGUAGAUACUGACGCUGAGGUGGCGAAAGCCAGGGGAGCGAACGGG